rnacentral:rRNA from 1 species
UAGGGAAUCUUCCGCAAUGGACGCAAGUCUGACGGAGCAACGCCGCGUGAGUGAAGAAGGAUUUCGGUUCGUAAAACUCUGUUGUUAGAGAAGAACAGCGCAUAGAGUAACUGUUAUGCGUGUGACGGUAUCUAACCAGAAAGCCACGGCUAACUACGUGCCAGCAGCCGCGGUAAUACGUAGGUGGCAAGCGUUGUCCGGAUUUAUUGGGCGUAAAGCGAGCGCAGGCGGUUAGAUAAGUCUGAAGUUAAAGGCAGUGGCUCAACCUUUGUAGGCUUUGGAAACUGUUUAACUUGAGUGCAGAAGGGGAGAGUGGAAUUCCAUGUGUAGCGGUGAAAUGCGUAGAUAUAUGGAGGAACACCGGUGGCGAAAGCGGCUAUCUGGUCUGUAACUGACGCUGAGGCUCGAAAGCGUGGGGAGCGAACAGG